rnacentral:rRNA from 1 species
AUUGAACGCUGGCGGAAUGCUUUACACAUGCAAGUCGAACGGCAGCACGGACUUCGGUCUGGUGGCGAGUGGUGAACGGGUGAGUAAUAUAUCGGAACGUAUCCAAUAAUGGGGGAUAACUAAUCGAAAGGUUGGCUAAUACCGCAUACGUCCUACGGGAGAAAGCUAGGGACCUUCGGGCCUGGCGUUAAUGGAGCGGCCGAUAUCGGAUUAGCUAGUUGGUGAGGUAAAGGCUCACCAAGGCGACGAUCCGUAGCUGGUCUGAGAGGACGACCAGCCACACUGGAACUGAGACACGGUCCAGACUCCUACGGGAGGCAGCAGUGGGGAAUUUUGGACAAUGGGCGAAAGCCUGAUCCAGCCAUUCCGCGCGAGUGAAGAAGGCCUUCGGGUUGUAAAGCUCUUUCGCAAGAGAAGAAAACUUACCCUCUAACAUAGGGUGAGGUUGACGGUAUCUUGAUAAGAAGCACCGGCUAACUACGUGCCAGCCGCCGCGGUAA